rnacentral:rRNA from 1 species
ACCUACGGGGCGCAGCAGUAGGGAAUUUUCGUCAAUGGGCGCAAGCCUGAACGAGCAAUGCCGCGUGAACGAGGAAGGUCUUCGGAUCGUAAAGUUCUGUUGAAGGGGAAAAAGAGCGGAGAGAGGAAUGCUUUCUGAUUGAUAUUACCCUUCGAGGAAGUCACGGCUAACUACGUGCCAGCAGCCGCGGUAAUACGUAGGUGGCGAGCGUUAUCCGGAAUGAUUGGGCGUAAAGGGUGCGUAGGCGGCCUGCUAAGUCUGGAGUGAAAGGUACCGGCUCAACCGGUACAGGCUCUGGAAACUGG